GAUGAACGCUGGCGGCGUGCCUAAUACAUGCCAGUCGAGCGAACAGACGAGGAGCUUGCUCCUCUGACGUUAGCGGCGGACGGGUGAGUAACACGUGGAUCACCUACCUAUAAGACUGGGAUAACUUCGGGAAACCGGAGCUAAUACCGUAUAAUAUAUUGAACCGCAUGGUUCAAUAGUGAAAGACGGUUUUGCUGUCACUUAUAGCUGGAUACGCGCCGCAUUAGCUAGUUGUUAAGGUAACGGCUUACCAAGGCAACGAUGCGUAGCCGGCGGAAGAGGGUGAUCGGCCACACUGGAACGGAGACACGGACCAGACGCCUGCGGGAGGCAGCAGUAGGGAAUCGUCCGCAAUGGGCGAAAGCCUGACGGAGCAACGGCGCGUGAGUUGUGAAGGUCUUCGGUUCGUAAAGCUCUGUUAUUAGGGAAGAACAAAUGUGUAAGUAACUAUGCACGUCUUGACGGUACCUGAUCAGAAAGCAACGGCUAACUACGUG
rnacentral:rRNA from 1 species